AAAUAAGUGAGUAGGAAAUAAACAGCAAGAGUAUUUCAGACCCUAAGACAGCACCAUCCCUAGAAAUGUCAUGCGAGCCACAGCUGCAUCCAGAGAAACGUGCAGACGACAUUGCUGAGAAAUCCGUGGACAGCAGGAGAAGGUGGAGUUGAUGCAGACAGAUGGGAUGAAAGGCCCCAGAGAAUGGACUCCUGGGUUCUCAGGGCAUCUCAGCAGAUCGUGAUGGCAUGAGGCAGGGACACUGCACGGCCGCGAAGGACGGAGACGAAAGGCGAACCGCCCGCCGAGCCGGACCCUGCGGGAGCGCAGACGGAGCCGGGAGGACCGAG